AUAUAUUUAUAGAGCUAAAAUCUGUUAUUUUUUCAUUUCAUUUACUAGAAAAAGCAUCAAAAGAAGCUUGAUAUACAAUCACAUUAAGAUAUUAGAGCAUAGAUGAAGAGCAUAAACCCAGUGAAGAUGUUGGCCGUGUUGGCGCUGGUUCUGCUGUUGUCCAGUGUGAUUGAGGGACGGAUUUUCAGCAAAUGUGAGCUGAAAGCAAAGCUGGAGGCAGCUCGGCUUAAUGAGAUUAGGGUUUUCGGAGAAAAUUUGGACACGAAAAUUCUUGUAGCUAGACUUGUCUGCAUGGCCAAUGACUCAAACUUCAACACCAGCUUUAUUAAAACGAUAACUGAGGACAUCCCACUUCAGCCAUUUACCUCUACAUUAAGACCCACCACAAGACCCACCACUGGUUCCACCACAAGACCCACCACUGGCUCCUCCACA